rnacentral:rRNA from 1 species
UACGGGGGGGGGCAAGCGUUUGUUCGGAAUUACUGGGCGUAAAGGGCUCGUAGGUGGCCAAUUAAGUCAGGCGUGAAAUCCCCAGGCUCAACUUGGGAACUGCGUCUGAUACUGGAGUGCUUGAAUCGGGAGAGGGAUGCAGAAUUCCAGGUGUAGCGGUGAAAUGCGUAGAUAUCUGGAGGAAUACCGGUGGCGAAGGCGGCAUCCUGGAC